rnacentral:rRNA from 1 species
UACAGAGGUCCCAAGCGUUGUUCGGAUUCAUUGGGCGUAAAGGGUGCGUAGGCGGCGCGGUAAGUCGGGUGUGAAAUCUCGGAGCUUAACUUCGAAACUGCAUUCGAUACUGCCGUGCUUGAGGACUGGAGAGGAGACUGGAAUUUACGGUGUAGCGGUGAAAUGCGUAGAUAUCGUAAGGAAGACCAGUGGCGAAGGCGGGUCUCUGGACAGUUCCUGACGCUGAGGCACGAAGGCCAGGGGAGCAAACGGG